rnacentral:rRNA from 1 species
CGAAGCGGAUCUCUUAAAGCUGUUCUCAGUUCGGACUGCAGUCUGCAACUCGACUGCACGAAGCUGGAAUCGCUAGUAAUCGCGGAUCAGCACGCCGCGGUGAAUACGUUCCCGGGCCUUGUACACAUCGCCCGUCACACCAUGGAAGUCUGCAAUGCCCGAAGCCGGUGGCCUAACCACUUAUGUGGAAGGAGCCGUCUAAGGCAGGGCAGAUGACUGGGGUGAAGUCGUAACAAGGUAGC